AUGGAAAUUGGAGCCGGUAAGCUCUUCCUUCCAGUAUCAACAGCAUCAGUACCCUUGUCCAUUAAAUCAAUUUUCGUGAGCACACCAAAGGUCCGUUCACCUGAAUCAACAAAAAGUAAAGUUCAAGCUCAGAAAUGGUUAGAAGUGCCAAGAGCAAUGGUACUUGAAUUAAACGCAAUUAUUAUAUGUGAAUUUUCCUUUCCAUUAACAGAGUUGGCCCACAAUAGGAUCACACAAAAAAAACAUAUCAAGCCAAUUGUCAAUAUAAUAUGGUUGAUAUCCACAAAGACAAAUUGCAAGGUACAGGUAUUAUCAGUAGACAGUAGUUAUCAUUAUAUCUCCUAUUGGUUCAAGAGAUAA
rnacentral:rRNA from 1 species